CGGCACGCCUAACACAUGCAAGUCGAACGCAGUAGCAAUACUGAGUGGCAAACGGGUGAGUAUAAUGUGGGAAUCUGCCUUUUGGUUUGGAAUAACACGGGGAAACUUGUGCUAAUACCGAAUAAGCCCUUACGGGGAAAGUUUUAAUGCCGAAAGAUGAGCCCGCACUUGAUUAGCUAGUUGGUAAGGUAAAAGCUUACCAAGGCAAUGAUCAAUAGCUGUUCUUAGAGGAAGACCAGCCACAUUGGGACUGAGACACGGCCCAGACUCCUACGGGAGGCAGCAGUGGGGAAUCUUGCACAAUGGGGGAAACCCUGAUGCAGCGAUGCCGCGUGAGUGAAGAAAGCCCUUGGGUUGUAAAACUCUUUCGUCGGGGAAGAAAAUGACUGUACCCGAAUAAGAAGGUCCGGCUAA
rnacentral:rRNA from 1 species